rnacentral:tRNA from 1 species
GCCAGGGUGGCCCAGUUGUUAAGGCACUCGGUUGUAAACCGAAAGGUCAGUGGUUCAAACCUACCCAGUGGCU